GGGGGGGGAUUGCGAUGCUACACAUGCAGUCGAACGAAAGUUUAUACUUUAGUGGCGGACGGGUGAGUAAUACGUGAGCCUUUACCUUUAGGAAGGGAAUAACAAUUGGAAACGAUUGCUAAUGCCCUAUAUGCUUAGCAGUGAAACAGAUUUAUCUGCCUGAAGAUGAGCUCGCGCCUGAUUAGCUAGUUGGUAGAGUAAAAGCCUACCAAGGCAACGAUCAGUAGCUGGUUUGAGAGGACGAUCAGCCACACUGGGACUGAGACACGGCCCAGACUUCUACGGAAGGCAGCAGUGGGGAAUUUUCCGCAAUGAGCGAAAGCUUGACGGAGCAAUACCGCGUGAGGGAAGAAUGCCUGUGGGUUGUAAACCUCUUUUUUUAGGGAAGAAAAUAUGACGGUACCUAAAGAAUAAGCAUCGGCUAACUCCGUGCCAGCAGCCGCGGUAAUACGGGGGAUGCAAGCGUUAUCCGGAAUUACUGGGCGUAAAGCGUCUGCAGGUGGCUUAAAAAGUCUGCUGUUAAAUAUUAGAGCUCAACUCUGAGUAAGCAGUGGAAACUGUUAGGCUAGAGUAUGGUAUGGGUAAAGGGAACUCCCAGUGUAGCGGUGAAAUGCGUAGAUAUUGGGAAGAACACCAGUAGCGAAAGCGCUUUACUAGACCAUUACUGACACUCAGAGACGAAAGCUAGGGGAGCAAAUGGGAUUAGAUACCCCAGUAGUCCUAGCCGUAAACGAUGGAUACUAGAUGUUGCGUGUAUCGACCCAUGCAGUAUCGUAGCUAACGCGUUAAGUAUCCCGCCUGGGAAGUAUGCUCGCAAGAGUGAAACUCAAAGGAAUUGACG
rnacentral:rRNA from 1 species